ensembl:lncRNA LINC02863 long intergenic non-protein coding RNA 2863
CCACAGACCACUUCCUCUGCUCCCCAGCGCCGGAUGGAUGCAGAUCUGUGAGUAAGGAGCCAGCUGCAGGCAAGCAGCUCGAGGGCAGGUGGGCAUGAUGUCUGGCUACCACUCGCACUGGACGCCACACACACAGCCAGGGUGGCAGAAGGCCCCACCUGCCAUGUGCCAGUGGGACACCACCCUCAUGGUCUGCGUUUCCAGGUUUCCAACUAAGGACUGAGCACACUCUCAACAUGGACCUCCUAACUGCUCUCGAGGAUGGACAGCUGGCCUCAAGGGAACACUGCAAAGUGGCUCUAGGAAGAAGCCACUGUCCCUCCAGACCAUAAAAAUGGCUACCAAGGGCAGAGCCAGCAGCUUUCGCUGUAAAGUUUCUCAAGAAAAUCACAGAUAUUCCCCUCUGUGAUGUUCAGCUCAGCCUGGAAAGGAGGCCGCUGGAAGACCUGGAUGCCCGUCGUGGGACAAGAGCCAGAAGCACUCACCCAGUGCCAACACCUGCUGGGCCACAAACAGUUUCUGCUUGGGAUCCCAACACAGGCAGCAGAGUCAGCAAAAACUCUAAGAUAUCAAGAAGUCAAGCAUUUCUUAACAACAGCAGCAAACUCUUACACAGGGCUGUGGUUACCAGACACUGCUCUAAAUAACUUACACUUGUUUACUUAUUUCAUCCUCACAACAACGGGUAAAUAUUUUAGGUCUCUGCCAAUUUGCCUGAUUACUGAAUUAGGUUGAAUCAUUAAAAUGAAUAACUUGAUAAUACCCAA